UUUUUGUGCCUUGAAUUUGAAGGGAAGUACAUAUUUGUCCCUUCCAUAGGUGCCUGGAAAUUAAUCUCUGAAAUCCUCCUAGAGCCAAGGACAAAAG